rnacentral:rRNA from 1 species
CCUACGGGAGGCUGCAGUGAGGAAUAUUGGUCAAUGGGCUUACGCCUGAACCAGCCAAGUCGCGUGAGGGAAGACUGCCCUAUGGGUUGUAAACCUCUUUUGUCAGGGAGCAAUUGGCGCUACGUGUAGCGUUAUCGAGAGUACCUGAAGAAAAAGCAUCGGCUAACUCCGUGCCAGCAGCCGCGGUAAUACGGAGGAUGCGAGCGUUAUCCGGAUUUAUUGGGUUUAAAGGGUGCGUAGGCGGAAUGCCAAGUCAGCGGUAAAAUCGCGGGGCUCAACCUCGCUCCGCCGUUGAAACUGGUUUUCUUGAGUGAGCGAGAAGUAUGCGGAAUGCGUGGUGUAGCGGUGAAAUGCAUAGAUAUCACGCAGAACUCCGAUUGCGAAGGCAGCAUACCGGCGCUCAACUGACGCUCAUGCACGAAAGUGUGGGUAUCGAACAGGAUUAGAUACCCUUGUAGUC